UUCCUCUUGCAUAAAAGGGAGGUAAAGUCUGCUCGGUGUAAUUGAUUAACAGCUGCAGUAACUUGACUGUACAAAGGUAGCGUAAUCACUUGUCUUUUAAUUGAAGACUAGAAUGAACGGCUUAACCAAGCUAAUUCUGUCUCUUUUUAACCUUAAGAAAUUUAAGAUUUAAGUUAAAACGCUUAAAUUAUUUAGAGGGACGAGAAGACCCUGAAGAUCUUUAUUCUUACUUUAUUUUAAAUAAUAAUUAUAAGAAUUUAUUUGGGAUGAAUGUAAUAAACAUUAUGGUUUACUAAGACUUAAACGUCUUUAUUCUGACCCGUUUAAACGAGAAUCUGUUUAAGUUACCUCAGGGAUAACAGCGCAAUGUCUUUUAUUAGACCUUAUAAAAACAGAAGUUUGCGACCUCGAUGUUGAAUUGAGUUAAACUUUAAGUAGAAGAGUACUUAAGAGUAGGACUGUUCGUCUUUUAAUAGCU
rnacentral:rRNA from 1 species